UUGACCUCAAAUCAGGUAGGACUACCCGCUGAACUUAAGCAUAUCAAUAAGCGGAGGAAAAGAAACUAACAAGGAUUCCCCUAGUAACUGCGAGUGAAGCGGGAAAAGCUCAAAUUUAAAAUCUGGCGGUCUUUGGCCGUCCGAGUUGUAAUCUAGAGAAGUGUUACCCGCGUCGGACCGUGUACAAGUCUCCUGGAAUGGAGCGUCAUAGAGGGUGAGAAUCCCGUCUUUGACACGGACUACCGAGGCUUUGUGGUGCGCUCUCAAAGAGUCGAGUUGUUUGGGAAUGCAGCUCAAAAUGGGUGGUAAAUUCCAUCUAAAGCUAAAUAUUGGCGAGAGACCGAUAGCGAACAAGUACCGUGAGGGAAAGAUGAAAAGAACUUUGGAAAGAGAGUUAAACAGUACGUGAAAUUGCUGAAAGGGAAACGCUUGAAGUCAGUCGCGUCCUCCGGGAAUCAGCCUUCCUUCUGGUUGGUGUACUUCCUGGUGGACGGGCCAGCAUCAGUUUUGACCGGUGGAAAAAGUUGGAGGGAAUGUGGCACCUUCGGGUGUGUUAUAGCCCUCUUUCGUAUACAUCGAUUGGGACUGAGGAACUCAGCACG
rnacentral:rRNA from 1 species